rnacentral:misc_RNA from 1 species
GCCGCCAAGGGGAAGGGC